rnacentral:rRNA from 1 species
UAGGGAAUCUUCCGCAAUGGACGCAAGUCUGACGGAGCAACGCCGCGUGAGUGAAGAAGGAUUUCGGUUCGUAAAACUCUGUUGUUAGAGAAGAACAGCGCAUAGAGUAACUGUUAUGCGUGUGACGGUAUCUAACCAGAAAGCAACGGCUAACUACGUGCCAGCAGCCGCGGUAAUACGUAGGUCCCGAGCGUUGUCCGGAUAUAUUGGGCGUAAAGCGAGCGCAGGCGGUUAGAAAAGUCUGAAGUGAAAGGCAGUGGCUCAACCAUUGUAGGCUUUGGAAACUGGUUAACUGGAGUGCAGAAGGGGAGAGUGGAAUUCCAUGUGUAGCGGUGAAAUGCGUAGAUAUAUGGAGGAACACCGGUGGCGAAAGCGGCUCUCUGGUCUGUAACUGACGCUGAGGCUCGAAAGCGUGGGGAGCGAACAGG